UAUAAAAUUUAAAAUUUAUUUUAUCGCUUUGCCUAUUUUAUUAUCUCUAGGUGCAGCGCAGAGUGCAGUUUUAAAACUCACUUGCCGAAUAUUCGUUCAACGCUACACACGCCAACUGCAUCAAGUUCAAUUUCAUUUUGUAUUAAUUAUUGUGAUACUUGUAUACGUCAAUUUCACACAAAUCCUUUCUUUCCGAUCCUUUAAUUUGUGUAAAGAUCAUAGAGACAAAAUAUUUGGGGAUUUAUGGGUUACUACUGAACUUGCCGAACUUUACGAACAAGAUGAGUACGAGAAGGUUUAUGUACGGGAACUGGUACUACAUCUACUAUUUUUGAUUAUAACUACAACAAUGGUGGCGGGUUCCGCAAGUCCAUCAAAUUACUAUCACCAUAUGUAUUUUCAAAACUUUUUUACCGAAUCCCCGUUUAAUAGUAGUACUGGGGUUAACAUGACUUUCCAUGAUAUAUUUUUGAUUGG